GAUCAUGACCCGAGCCGAAGUCAGGCGCUUAACAGACUGAGCCAUUCAGGCGCCCCCUGUUUUCACUUUUUGAAGUAGGAAAUCCCCCAAAGAAGGGAAAGGGCUCCAGUCAGAGCAUAUGGGGAAGGGCGCUGCCCUGGGCACAGGCAGUAACGGGGAGCAUUAUCUGUAGUGAAUAUAAAAACUAUAAUGGUGGAGUGCCUGAGUGGCUCCGUCAGUUAAGUGACCAACUCUUGAUCGCAGCUCAGGUCUUGAUCUCAGCGUCGUGAGUUCAAGCCCCGUGAUGGGCCCCAUGCUGGGCCCCAUGCUGGGCGUGAAGCCUACUUAAAAAACAAACAAAAACUGUAAUGGAUUCUAUGCCAUAUCAUUGGUGAAACACUCUUUUACCCUGAGAUAUUCAGUUGAUCAACUAUCUCAUUGGCUGUGGUCACUGCUGAGUUCUCAUAAUAAGUUUCAAAUUAGCAUAUUUCAGUCAUUUACACUUUCACAAACAUUGUGUUUUUCAUGGAAGCUAAUUGAAACAAGUCCAUGUCAGGCCUCUACAUACAUGGGCUCAGCUGCAUGUGUCCAUCUUGAAGGUAAGUUCCUUAAAGAUCCAGAAUCAUCCAAGUUUGCUUUGGGCCCUGUUCGGGUCUUUGAUGCCUGCAUUAUGCAUAUUUCUGUAUUUCCACAGCCAAUUCAAUAUCAGCAGUGAUAGCCCAGUAACUAAAUGAUGAAGGAGCUCUUGAACAACUUUGAUCCCGUCAUUCUGCAUGACCACUGGGAGCUUUUAUUUGUGUUUAAGAUUUAGAAUGGCGAAACAGGGCGUGGGAAAGUUUUUGCUUGGCAAGUAAAAAUUUUAAUACCUACAGUAGUAUUUUAUUGACUCUGAAUAACAUAUGUAAGAUAAAAAAUUUUCCUUUAUAUAUAAGUUGAUAAUUAUUAGUCAUUUUAAAACUAAGGGCCAGGGACAUCUGGGUGGCUCAGUCGGUUAUGCGUCCCACUCUUGGUUUCAGCUCAGGUCAUGAUCUCAUGGUUCUUGAGUUUGAGCCCUGCAUCGGGCUCUGCACUGACAGAGCCUGCUUGGGAUUCUCUCUCUCCCUCUCUCUGCCCCUCCCCUGCUUGUGCUGUCUCUAUCUCUCUCAAAAUAAAUAAAACAUUAAAAAAAAAACAACUAAGGGAUGAAUCAGGAAAGUAAAGAUUAUUAGUAGUUAUUACCAGAAAUGAUUUUGCUGUAGAGUAGAGAGGGUGGGUUAAAAAAUGAUCUCUCCUACGUGGUUCUAUUGACUGUAUAGUAGGCUCUGGUGGGUCCCUUGGGCACAAUACCUCAUUUAAUACAUAGGUUGUCCCCGGGGAGGGAGGGCUUAUUAUUCCUGGUUUGUGUUUUGAGUUGAUCCAAUUCUGCUAAUGAUAGAAAACUCUAAAACAUUGCUUAUUCUUACAUUGAAAUUCACUCUCAUUUUGUUUCUUCCCCAUAAAAUGCUUUAUUACAAAUGUAACUCGAAAGCCUCUCUCUAGUGCUGUGAAAUGAGAUCGCCCCUCCUGCAGAAAAUUAAAUCAUUCUGGCAUCAGCCCCUUUUGGGCCUCUUGCUGGUAAUAAAGCCCCUCUAAAGUGUCCCCUCAGUUAUUUCAGAAGGCUACUCUUCUGCUGCCAUCUUGCAUGUGUGGGGAGGGGUAUGGCAGGCCCCCCUGUCACUGUGGCCACGCUGCUCCCAGAGACCCCCGUGAGAAACCUGCUCUGGGGGCAUGGAUGUCUUUGUGGCUGAUGUCUGCUAAUCCCCCUUCUUCCCUCCUGGGCCCCCUCCCCCUCCCCACCUUGGCUGAGGACAUGGGGCUGAGGUUACCAUGAGAAGCAGGUGCUCUUGCAGCCCACAGACCCAAGUGGCACCUUAGAGAUAGCGAAGAGUUUCUGGCUGGCCCCCCGCAGGGCAGGGUCAGCUCAGCCCCAGCAGCUGCCACUUCUAGGUGUCCAUAUGGCUUGGAAUGCCAGCCAGAUUUCCUCCUUGGCCUUAGCAGGCGAGGGCUGUCUUUGGUGGUCCAGUUCAAGACCCCCUCAUUUCUUGCCCUGGGAUCAUGCUAGAGACACCUCUGCCCUUCAGGGAACCACCCCCCCCAUGCCCCUCCCAAUGCACAGGGAUUUGCUCUGGCCCCCAGCUCUGAUGACAAUCACAACAGCAUUUAGUAUGUUGCUUAAAGUCUGCCCUGUUCUGUCUUAAAUACCACAUCAUACACAGGGGCGUCCAGUCCUCUAGCCUCCUGAUGUGCCCUGCCUGGUCUUAUCCCCAGUCCUCCUUUCCUGGGCUCCUGCUGCCUCCCUGGGGUGCAGGACCCUUUUCCUGCUGGAUCUGUCCAGUCCUCCCCCUCUUAGUCCCAGGGGAAGUUAUCUUCAUGGCUGGUGGGGAGGAGAAGGACAUUUGGGCCAGGCUCCUCUCAAACAUUUUGUUUCAGUCCCCAAGGGCCAGACUUGUGGAGCCCCAAACCAGGCAGGGGCCUUUGUUUCUGCUCACUGGAAGGAUGUUCUGCGUCCUCCAGGCGGUGAGCUCAGGUGGGUGGCUUGUUUCAGGGCUGGGGAAGGAAGUGGAGAAAGCAAGAGAGUAAACCACGAGGAGCAGCAGUUUUGUUUCACUCAAUUGAAAACCUAUCGAUUGACCAAACAUUUAACUGUUUGACAAGUAUUUUUAAACAACUACUUUGUGUGAAACACUCUUAGGUGUGAUGAAGUGUGCAAAGAAAUGUAAUAUAAUUCCAUCAAAUGAGGCAAAGGAGACAAAUUCCCGCCACGCGCCAAGGGUCCUGCUAGGCUCUGAGACACAGCGGUGAGCAACAUCUCAGAAACGGCAUCCUGCAGAGUCCAGGGGAGCCUCUGAUAAUAGCUGCAUCCCGUUCCUCACAGCCUGUGGGCUCAUCUCAAGGUUUCUUUAAGUCUAUAAAGUGUAUUCGUGUCCUACGCUGUGCAAAUUACCAUAAACUCAGUGGCUUAAGGCAAUGUAAAUGCAUCAUCCUGCGGUUCUGGAGGCCAGAAGUCUGAAAUGGGUCUCACUGGCCUAAAACCAAGGUGUCAGGAGGUUGUAGGGGAGAUCUUUUCCUCUGGCCUUUUCCAACUGCUAGAGGCUCCUUGGCUCCAGCCCCUUCCUCUACCUUCAAAGCCACCGGGAUAGCAUCUUUGUCUUUCUGAUUCUGACCCCUGAUCCACCUGCCUCCCUCUUUCACUUGUAAGAACUCUUGUAAGAACACCGGGCCCAUCUGGACAAUCCAGGACAGUCUUCCAUCUCAUGACCCUCAACUUAGUCACAUCUGCAAAGUCCCUCUUGCCAUGUAAGGUCACAUAUUCACGGGGAUUCUGGGGAUUAGGACCAGACAGCUUUGGGCACCAUUAUUCUGCCCUCUGUAUGUCACAAGGGCAUUGGAAGGAUGUGUGUGAGGGGACGUGUGUGUGGGCACACAUCUGACACAUCCUAUUGUGAGUUUCUCUUCCCACCCGAGGGUCUAAUCCUAAGGAGGAGCAUGUUUCCUGGUGGGGGUCCCCUUGGAGAACAUAGUUAGGUGGACCAGAAGGUGGCCCUGAUCCAAAUCCAGCCACCCUGUGCAGGGGCUGCCGGUGCCCUCCCUCUCCCCCUGACCCCACUGCGCCCCAGAAGUCACCUGCCAUUUCAGUGGGAGAUUUCUGCAUACAGGAUGGCUUCCUACUGCAAACACCAGUGUCUCUCUGCCCGAGGUCUUUCUCUGGCUACAGAAGGGCACUCAGUUUCUGGUAGUACAGGCUGGAAAUGCUGGGGAGUUGACCCCAAGAGUAACCCAUAACCAAGAAGGGAUGGGAGUUGGUGGAUAUAUCAGUGUCCUGGUAGCUGUAACAAAUUAUCACUAAUUGGGUGCCUUAAAACAUAGACAUUUCUUCCCUCACAGUUCUGGAGGCCAGAAGUCUGAAAUCAAGGUAUCACAGGGCCCUGCUCCCUCUGAAGGCUCUGGGGGGAAUCCUUCCUUAACUCUUCCAGCUUCUGGUGGCUCUUAGUGUUCCUUGGUUCAUGGCUGCAUCCUUUCAACCUCUGCCUCUGACAUCACAUCAUCUUUUCUUUUCCUCCCUGUGCAUCUCUUAUAAGGACACUUGUCUUUCGAUUUAGGCGCCCCGUGGGUAAUCCAGGAUGAUCUCAUCUCAAGAUGUUUAAUUAUAUUGACAAAGACCCUUUUUCCAGUUAAGUUCAUACUAACAGAUUGCAGGGGUUACAACGUGGACAUAUCUUUUUGAGGGUCACCAUUCAGUCACUUCAGUGAAUGAACACCUGGCUUUCUCACCCCUUGGGGAUACUUCUAGGGUGUGCUCUACAUGGUCUCCUAAAGAGUUCCAAGUGGCAUUAAACCCGGCCUGUCCAGUGACCAACCCACUCAGGAAUGCAGACUUUAUUGGCUGUCUUCGCUCCCCUGUGUCACUCCCUGACUCUUCCACUUUACUUCCUCAGAUCACUUCCCAAACUGCCUGCCUGCACAUAAAUCCUUGUCUCCAGGUCUGCUCUGGGGAAACCCAAAUUAAGACAAAGCCCCUUUGUCUAAGGCCCUUGCACGCAGCUGGAAGUCACGUCUCAGCUGGCUCCCAGGCGUGGUUUGCCUUGUGCUGCACACUCCUGGUGGAUCUUCAUCUUAGGUGCUCCCUGGUCAGUCCUCCCCCUCCCUGGUCUGUCCCCUCCCCCAUCACUUUGCCCUUGUGAUUGCACAGCCUCAUCUCUAUCUCUCAGAGAUUCCCGGUUGGUGGCUGGCAUGCAGCCUCAGCAGAGGGGAAGUAAUUGCAAAGGUACCUGCUGCCUUAGAUAGUGGAGAAAGUAUCACAGUCAGCAUGUGGCUUAAUUGGAUUAAAGAAAAAAACCCUGCUCCUAUCUCCACAGUAACUCAUCGCCCUUGAUGGGAUGCAGAUAGAGCUCAUCACAGUAGCAAGAGUCUCUGCCAAGAUACUUGCUGGCCUGGCUUUAGGAAGCUUCUGGACAGGGAAGGAGCUGAGUUCUUGGGCCUUUGCCCAGAGUUCAGAGACAUAAGCAGGCACAAGGCCUAGACGUGAAGAAAAGAAGCAGUUUGGGGAAUGGAGAGACAAAACCCAGGUUUUGCCCUGGGUUGGAGAGCACGACCCAGGAAGAAGGUCUGACUGAGACAGUCCUGUGCUCAGGGCCAGGAGGAUGGGAGAGUUGGAAAAGAAGGAUCAGAGGUGAUGGAGAUGGGCUCUCACUGCCCCCAGGGAGGAGGAGGAGUUGACCAUCUGAUAGGUGUCAGUCCGUGAAGUGAUCAGAUCAUGCACCUAUGCAGGAGAUCACAUGGAUUGUAUACAUAAGUCACCCUUUCCUUCCUGAGGGGGUGCUCCCAGGCCAGCGUGUCCUCUUGGCCAGCCCACUGCUCCUGGAACUCCAGCAGUCAUGAGCCUGAACUCUGGGCUCCAGCCUUAGGUCCUUGGAGUUCUGUGCUGUGUGGAUGGGGCAUGGGGCCUAGCUCCUCGCAGGAGAACGUAGCGUGUCCUGUUUGGUGACUCUUCUCUGGCGAGGCCUCCCUGAGGAAUCCUGUGGAGAGGCACAAGUCAGGAAUUCGUGGGUGUCCAAAUGUAGUAAUGUAAUCAAGACCCUAGUUCUCUCCCACUGUAAAGGUAACCUUGAUGCUCCUUCUGCAUCUACGAGUUGGGGGUCAAUAGGGGGCUGUAGGGCUAGUGAAGCCCCAGGGCACAGCCAUGCACCAGGCACCUUUUGCUUCAGAAAUACAUUCAGCAGUGACUGAUCUUGCAUUUCCUAGUUGCUUAAGGCCCUGCGUCACAGAAUAAGGCAGAAUAACUCUAUUUUCAGUCCACUAGUAAAGAAUUUUCGGUCCUAUUAGUACUUGAGCUGUAUGAAUUGACCUUCAGUUAUGUCACUGCUGUGCAUUCCUACUUCCUGGUUUGUCUUGGGACUGCCUGUGCAGGAAGCUCCCUCCUCUGUCACACCCCAGAAGCUUAUGUUUCUCGGAGACACUUUCUCUCCAUGUGGUUGGAGGGGUAAUAGGAGCCAGAUUGAACAUAGUCUUGACCUAAGGCAGGGGAAGUUAAGAGCAAUAGACUUCCUCGGGUUGGGGGGGGGUGCCGGAGAUUCAUGGAUGGCUGCUGAGCUGGGGGAGCACCCUGUCGGAGCCAUGCGUUGGAAUGUGAAAGAAGAGACACAUGUGCAAAUACAACAGGACUUGAUGGGGACAGGAACUCAAUAUAUCUGAAGCUGAAUGUUUAAUCUGUAGGUCUUAUGGGUACUGGUCCCUCUGCCUAGACCAUGUGUCCCUUCUGAGAUAUCACUUCUCAGAGAGUUCUUCCUUGGUUCCCCUUCCUAUCUAUGUUUGUUUCCCAUGUUACACCCUCUCAUGGCUUCCUCUGUUUUUUUUUUUCUCCAUAGAUUUUACUACAAUUUUGAAAGUUUUAACUUGUCUUCCUAAUCAGACUUUAAAUUCUUUGGGGGGAGGGGUCAGGAUCCAUGUUUUACUCAUUUCUGUGUGAUGCCAAAGAAACAUUGCACUGGAUGGAGUUAAACAGGUGAGGGAGACUUUAUGUAAGACUACUGCAGUAGGGGAGAGAGACUGACCUCUCAAGUCUACUGAAACAAAAGGCAAGAGGGUUUUCAAGCUAAUGGAAAAGUAACGGAGGACACUGGUUUAUUUGUAUUGGCUCAUUGGUAUUUGUUAAAGUUAGGCUCCUACUGUCCCAGAGACUGGGAGAGAAGGUAUUAUCUUUCUUAAUGAUUACAUUUCUCAAGGAUGGCACCCAGGUCCUUGAAUAAGACAUAUCAGGGUUGUAAAACUGGCAAGAGGCUGGGAGAAGAUUUAUAUCUCAAAGGGGCAGAGAAAGAACUUACAAUUGCAAGAUUUCUAAAGUAAACACUCUAAGAAAAGAGAAGUCAGGGGCCUAUGGUCAGGAAGGGACUAUCUAGGGUAUAGUCAAGCUUAGGGGAACAUUGAGGUAUCUUGGUCAAUGACCUCCCACCCAUGCUACCUUCUUCCCCUACAGGGCCUGGCACAGAGCCCAGCAGAUAAUAGAUGCGUUCAUUUUAAAUUUAACUUGAACAUUUGUCUGUCCAUUUGGUUAAUCUCCAUUUUCUUCUCUAGACUGUGAGCUCCAUGAAGGGAAAGGCCAUGCCUGUCUUGUUCAUUAGUAUAAAUCCAGCACUAAUAGGCUCCACCUAUUACAAGCAAUAGGUGCUUGUGGAAAGAGUGAAUGAUGGAUGUGUGGGUGAAGCGAGACAAGCAGCAAGGCUGACUUCCAGGUUUUUGGAAUGCCUGGAAUGUAGACAUCAUAAUGAUGGGCUGAGGGCAGAGCGGCUGUUUGAUCAGGACCCUCCUGCUGACUUCCCAGGGAGGAGAAGCCUCACGGUGUUCCGUGUCUGAGUUGGAGGUGAUGGAGGACGCACAGAUAGAGCCUGGGGAGAUGGUUGGACAUGUUCCUUACCCCUUGUUUGAUUUCUAACAACUGACAAUGAUCCUGGGGAAGUGACAACGUAUGAUCUUUUGAGUUUGUUUAGAAGACAGAGCUGCGUGGAGUUCGAAAGAGCAAUUCCUCCAGUUGUGGUAUGGAGAGAGGAAGUGUGGGGAGCCAAGGAUCUAAGCCCCUUUGAGUAUUCAGACACCGACCAACUAAUGCCAGAGAAUUGACAAUAUUGACCGUUGCUGGCCUUCAUGACUUUGACCUGAACUCUGUCCCCUUAAAAUGACUUUUGCCCCAAUUCCAUGCUGGAUUCCCCAUUGGGCAAGCUGAUUCAUGAACAGAUUGGAGCUGGAGCAGAGAAGGAGCCUGGAUGACAUGCCUGCGAGAGACCACCCGUCUCAGGGCCCGUGGAUGUGGUUCCUCAAGCAAAGAUUCCUUGGGCGUCAUGGACCAUCUGCCUCCUCCUAUGGAUGUCUUCAGCGUCAUCUCUCUCCCUUUCCCGCAGCAAGAGGGCUUGAUCAAGGUGGGUGUCUUCUUGCCUCCCCGAGUGAACUGGAGCCUCUCAGGUAACAGCUGGGGUCCCUGUCCUCUAUGAUCUGAAGACACACCAGCCCAUCCUUCUUCCUCCCCAGAUGGCUGGACUACAUCUGCUUUGAGGAUCAAGCAGGAGACAGAGAUAAGCUGCCAGUUCCCCAAAUACAGAGUUGUACACUUUACGUCUUGAGAAUCAGACCUCCCACUGGCGGGAGCGCUUGCCCUUAACUGAUACGUCAAGGAAUCAAACCAGGUUAUUUUUGUUCAUGAGAUGGUGAAAUACACUGAAAGCAGUGAGGGGGGGAAAGGCGUGAGAGAGAAAACGCCCGCUGCUUCCACUGGGAUCCUUGCUGGCUGUUCCUGAGUUUUCCAUGGAAAGCACUUAGAUACUCAGAACAAAGGAUACUUGCUGGUGCAUGGGGCAUGUUGAAAUACCAGGGAAAUUAACCCCUGGGAGCAGCACUCAACCGAUGAUGCAUAGAAACUGGCGGGUAGAAGUUCAGCUCUCUCACCCCUUGGGAAGAGUAACUCUAAGUGGGAUUUUGAAAUUGAAGAUGGGAUUAUUUUCACCUGUGGAUCAACUUGGUGUAGAACAAAGAUGGCAUGUACAGAAGCAGGAAUCCAGAGGCUGAGCUACAUAGUUCAGAAGGGAUGCUCUCGUCCCAUCUUACUGACUGCUUUCUCCUCUGAGCAUGCUCACAGACCCUCUUCUGCCAACCCUGGGCCCUCCCUCCCACCACGCUGCCUCUAUACGAGCAUCCAUCAUGAUGCCUCUAUUGACCACUCCCAACUCAGACUGCUCCCCUGAGCUUUAUACUGGACACUACCACCUGGAUGUCCACAGGCCUGUCUGCUCCCUUCCCUUGCUGCUUCCCUCCUCUGGAUCUCAGCCCUCAGCGGCACUGGCCAUCCACCCUCCCUGAGCCUGAAGCCUGGGAGUCCAUCUUGGGCACCUCACUCUUUCUUGCCACCAUAUCCCUUCACCCAUCAGGUCCUGUCCACGUUCUCUCUCAAAUCUCUCUCCUGACUGUCCUUCCACUCAGCCCCAACCACCAACCCCCCGUGGAGGGCUCCCCCUCCACCCCCCAUAUGGCUGCAGCCAGGGGUCUAGUUCUGGAGCACACACUGAGGUGUGUCAGGCCUGCAGUCCUGAGGACAGGUGGAGGGAGGGAUUUGUGAUCGUUCCCAGAGGCCAUGGGGUGGGGGAUGG